AACAGCUGCAACACUGCCAGAAACCACGGGAAGGGCGAAAUAUUUGCUGGUUGCUGCUAUUUGAAGCCUUGCCAGAAUCAACAAUGAUGGUCUUAGGCAUUAUCAGCUCAUUUUAAAAAUGUAUCCUGACAGAUGCUGGUCUGUAAGCAACAACUUCCUUCCUGGCUCUCUAGACUCUCUAGAAGAAAGAGCAAAAUUUCAGCGUUCCCUAUGCGUGUUUGAGA
rnacentral:lncRNA from 1 species